rnacentral:tRNA from 2 species
GUGAUGUUAGCUCAGCUGGCUAGAGCGUCUCCCUGUGGAGGAGAAGGUCGCCGGUUCAAAUCCGGUACAUCACCCA